UACAGAGGGUGCGAGCGUUAAUCGGAAUUACUGGGCGUAAAGCGCGCGUAGGCGGCUUUGCAAGUCGGGUGUGAAAUCCCCAGGCUUAACCUGGGAACUGCAUUCGAGACUGCAUUGCUAGAGUAUGGGAGAGGGAAGUGGAAUUUCCGGUGUAGCGGUGAAAUGCGUAGAUAUCGGGAGGAACACCGGUGGCGAAGGCGGUUCUCUGGGCCUGUACUGACGCUGAGGCGCGAAAGCUAGGGGAGCAAACGGG
rnacentral:rRNA from 1 species